rnacentral:rRNA from 1 species
AUUGAACGCUGGCGGCAUGCUUUACACAUGCAAGUCGAACGGCAGCGCGGGCUUCGGCCUGGCGGCGAGUGGCGAACGGGUGAGUAAUGCAUCGGAACGUGCCCAGUAGUGGGGGAUAGCCCGGCGAAAGCCGGAUUAAUACCGCAUACGACCUGAGGGUGAAAGCGGGGGACCGAAAGGCCUCGUGCUAUUGGAGCGGCCGAUGUCGGAUUAGCUAGUUGGUGGGGUAAAGGCUUACCAAGGCGACGAUCCGUAGCUGGUCUGAGAGGACGACCAGCCAGACUGGGACUGAGACACGGCCCAGACUCCUACGGGAGGCAGCAGUGGGGAAUUUUGGACAAUGGGGGCAACCCUGAUCCAGCCAUGCCGCGUGCGGGAAGAAGGCCUUCGGGUUGUAAACCGCUUUUGUUCGGGAAGAAAUCCUCUGGGCUAAUACCCCGGGGGGAUGACGGUACCGGAAGAAUAAGCACCGGCUAACUACGU